rnacentral:rRNA from 1 species
CAAUAGCGUAUAUUAAAGUUGUUGCAGUUAAAAAGCUCGUAGUUGGAUUUGUGGCGUACGGUGUGUUCCGGGCACUUGUUGUCUGAGUAACCUGCUGUUGCCAUCCUUGGGUGGAACCUGUGUGGCAUUAGGUUGUCGUGCAGGGGAUGCCCAUCAUUUACCGUGAAAAAAUUAGAGUGUUCAAAGCAGGCUUAUGCCGUUGAAUAUAUUAGCAUGGAAUAAUGAGAUAGGACUUUUUUGCUAUUUUGUUGGUUUGCGCAAAGAGGUAAUGAUUAAUAGGGACAGUUGGGGGUAUUCGUAUUCCAUAGUCAGAGGUGAAAUUCUUGGAUUUUUGGAAGACGAACUACUGCGAAAGCAUUUACCAAGGAUGUUUCCAUUAA